AUUGAACGCUGGCGGAAUGCUUUACACAUGCAAGUCGAGCGGCAGCACGGGGGCAACCCUGGUGGCGAGCGGCGAACGGGUGAGUAAUACAUCGGAACAUGCCCAGUCGUGGGGGAUAACACUUCGAAAGAAGUGCUAAUACCGCAUACGUCCUGAGGGAGAAAGCGGGGGAUCUUCGGACCUCGCGCGAUUGGAGUGGCCGAUGUCAGAUUAGCUAGUUGGUGGGGUAAAGGCCUACCAAGGCAACGAUCUGUAGCUGGUCUGAGAGGAUGAUCAGCCACACUGGGACUGGGACACGGCCCAGACUCCUACGGGAGGCAGCAGUGGGGAAUUUUGGACAAUGGGGGCAACCCUGAUCCAGCCAUUCCGCGUGAGUGAAGAAGGCCUUCGGGUUGUAAAGCUCUUUCGGCAGGAACGAAACGGCGAGCUCUAACAUAGUUUGCUAAUGACGGUACCUGAAGAAGAAGCACCGGCUAACUACGUGCCAGCCGCCGCAGUAAGAC
rnacentral:rRNA from 1 species